rnacentral:rRNA from 1 species
GAUGAACGCUAGCGGCAGGCUUAAUACAUGCAAGUCGAGGGGCAGCAGGACUGUAGCAAUACAGUUGCUGGCGACCGGCAAACGGGUGCGGAACACGUACGCAACCUACCCAAAACUGGGGGAUAGCCCGGGGAAACCCGGAUUAAUACCUCGUAACCUUUUUAAGUGGCAUCACUUGAUAAGUAUAGCUCCGGCGGUUUUGGAUGGGCGUGCGCCUGAUUAGGUAGUUGGUGCGGGUAACGGCCCACCAAGCCUGCGAUCAGUAACUGGUGUGAGAGCACGACCAGUCACACGGGAACUGAGACACGGGCCCGACUCCUACGGGAGGCAGCAGUAAGGAAUAUUGGUCAAUGGACGCAAGUCUGAACCAGCCAUGCCGCGUGAAGGAUGAAGGUCCUCUGGAUUGUAAACUUCUGUUAUGGGGGACGAAACCCGGAUAUUCUUAUCCGAUUGACGGUACCUCAGGAAUAAGCACCGGCUAACUCCGUG